UAUUAUUUUGACAUUUUGCACGACAGUGCCACGACAACUAUUCUAUAGAUCUUCCACGACAAAAAAUCGUACGAUCUGCUGUGACCGGGGCUUUAUCCUACAUCACCACAUACAUAUAUAUUUGCUUAAUUAUUAUUUGUGAAAGUUAAAAAGCAAGCUAGUUAUAAAACAUGCAUUUCCACAUUAACAGCAUCCUUUACAGUAAUUCAUGUAUUAGAAACAACCCGUGAAGGACGGAAAUACAAUUUUGAAGGAUUUCUCUGUCGUUUUUCACGCAUCAACCUGCUAGUUAAUAAAAUAUUCGUUAUAGUUUUACUGUUUUACUGCCAUUGUUACAUUAUAGUUCGUUUCUGUGUGUGUUACAUUUCGGUGUCUCUGUUGUGUCGUAGUUCUCUUAUAUUUGAUACGUUUCCCUCAGUUUUAGUUUGUAACCCGGAUUUGUUUUUUCUCUAUCGAUUUGUGAAUUUUGAACAGCGGUAUACUACUGUUGCCUUUUUUUACUGGAGGUUCCAUUAUCAUAUAUGCACGAACAAUAUAGUGUACAACAACAGCAAAUUAUUGAAAAUGAUAAUCAGCCAAUUAAAAAACG
rnacentral:lncRNA from 1 species